AUAACUUCCAACAUCCACACUUCCCAAUUUAAAUCUACAAUAAUAAAUUGAAAUGAAUAAAGUAAACCUAAAUAUAACUAUAAAAUAAUAUAUCAAAUUCGUAUAAAUGAUACCUUUUAUUGAAAUGAUUAAAGUAAAUAUCACUCAAUCGCCAAUUGGUCUUUUGCUGCUUGUGUUUGUUGUGCUAGCAUUGGUCUAAAAAAUUCUACAAAGAAAUAAAAUAGAUGUAUGAAAAGCAUUAUUUAUAAUAUUGAAUACUACAAAUAAAUUAUCAAAUGUCAACAAAAUCGUGUUAUUACUUGCUUUAACAACUUCAUAAAAUUAAGUUUCUUCCUCGAUUGGCUCUAUU
rnacentral:lncRNA from 1 species